AACGUAGGUGGCGAGCGUUAUCCGGAUUUACUGGGCGUAAAGGGUGUGCAGGCGGGCGACCAAGUGGUGUAUGAAAUCUCCCAGCUAAACUGGGAUAGGUUAUGCCAGACUGGUGGUCUAGAGUGCGAGAGAGGGGCGUGGAAUUCCGGGUGUAGUGGUGAAAUGCGUAGAUAUGCGGAGGAACACCGAUGGCGAAGGCAAUCCCCUGGGCCUGCACUGACGCUCAUGCACGAAAGCGUGGGGAGCAAACAGG
rnacentral:rRNA from 1 species